GAUGAACGCUGGCGGCGUGCCUAAUACAUGCAAGUCGAGCGAACAGACGAGGAGCUUGCUCCUCUGACGUUAGCGGCGGACGGGUGAGUAACACGUGGAUAACCUACCUAUAAGACUGGGAUAACUUCGGGAAACCGGAGCUAAUACCGGAUAAUAUAUUGAACCGCAUGGUUCAAUAGUGAAAGACGGUUUUGCUGUCACUUAUAGAUGGAUCCGCGCCGCAUUAGCUAGUUGGUAAGGUAACGGCUUACCAAGGCAACGAUGCGUAGCCGACCUGAGAGGGUGAUCGGCCACACUGGAACUGAGACACGGUCCAGACUCCUACGGGAGGCAGCAGUAGGGAAUCUUCCGCAAUGGGCGAAAGCCUGACGGAGCAACGCCGCGUGAGUGAUGAAGGUCUUCGGAUCGUAAAACUCUGUUAUUAGGGUAGAACAAAUGUGUAAGUAACUAUGCACGUCUUGACAGUACCUAAUCAGAAAGCCACGGCUAACUACGUG
rnacentral:rRNA from 1 species